GGCGAACGACUGGAGAGUAAUGUAUCGGAACGUAUCCGCAAGUGGGGGAUAGCUCGGCGAAAGCCGGAUUAAUACCGCAUAUGCCCUGGGGGGAAAGUGGGGGACCGUAAGGCCUCACGCUUUCGGAGCGGCCGAUAUCAGAUUAGCUAGUUGGUGGGGUAAAGGCCUUACCAAGGCGACGAUCUGUAGCUGGUCUGAAGGAUGAUCAGCCACACUGGGACUGAGACACGGCCCAGACUCAUACGGGAGGCAGCAGUGGGGAAUUUUAUGACAAUGGGGGCAACCCUGAUCCAGCCAUGCCGCGUGAGUGAAGAAGGCCUUCGGGUUGUAAAGCUCUUUCGUGAGGGAAGAAACGGUACAGGCUAAUAACCUGUAUUAAUGACGGUACCUCAAGAAGAAGCACCGGCUAACUACGUGCCAGCAGCCGCGGUAAUACGUAGGGUGCGAGCGUUAAUCGGAUUACUGGGCGUAAACCGUGCGCAGGCGGUUUAUUAAGACAGAUGUGAAAUCCCCCGGGCUCAACCUGGGAACUGCAUUUGUGACUGGUAGGCUAGAGUACAGCAGAGGGGGUAGAAUUCCACGUGUAGCAGUGAAAUGGGUAGAGAUGUGGAGGAAUACCGAUGGCGAAGGCAGCCCC
rnacentral:rRNA from 1 species